rnacentral:misc_RNA from 1 species
UACGGAGGGUGCAAGCGUUAAUCGGAAUUACUGGGCGUAAAGCGCGCGUAGGCGGUUAUCUAAGCUAGAUGUGAAAGCCCAGGGCUCAACCUUGGAACUGCAUUUAGAACUGGGUAACUAGAGUACGUCAGAGGAGUGUGGAAUUUCCGGUGUAGCGGUGAAAUGCGUAGAUAUCGGAAGGAACACCAGUGGCGAAGGCGACACUCUGGGCUGAUACUGACGCUGAGGUGCGAAAGCGUGGGUAGCAAACAGG